UACGUAGGGAGCAAGCGUUGUCCGGAAUCAUUGGGCGUAAAGCGCGCGUAGGUGGCUUCGUAAGUCCGUUGUGAAAGUCAAAGGCUCAACCUUUGAAAGCCGAUGGAUACUGUGGAGCUAGAGUACGGAAGAGGCGAGUGGAAUUCCUGGUGUAGCGGUGGAAUGCGCAGAUAUCAGGAGGAACACCAGUGGCGAAGGCGGUUGCCUGGGGCUUUGCUGACGCUGAUGCGCGAAAGCGUGGGGAGCGAUCCGGAUUAGACUACCCGUCGUGAGUC
rnacentral:rRNA from 1 species